rnacentral:rRNA from 1 species
AUUGAACGCUGGCGGCAUGCUUUACACAUGCAAGUCGAACGGCAGCGCGGGGCAACCUGGCGGCGAGUGGCGAACGGGUGAGUAAUAUAUCGGAACGUACCCAGAAGUGGGGGAUAACGUAGCGAAAGUUACGCUAAUACCGCAUACGAUCUACGGAUGAAAGUGGGGGACCUUGGGCCUCAUGCUUUUGGAGCGGCCGAUAUCUGAUUAGCUAGUUGGUGAGGUAAAGGCUCACCAAGGCGACGAUCAGUAGCUGGUCUGAGAGGACGACCAGCCACACUGGGACUGAGACACGGCCCAGACUCCUACGGG